rnacentral:rRNA from 1 species
GUAAAUUGUGUGGCUUAACCAUACGAAUUCUGGGUAGACUGGUAAACUUGAGACCGGGAGAAGCUAGAGGUACUCCUGGGGUAGAGGUGAAAUUCUGUAAUCCUAGGGGGACCACCAGUGGCGAAGGCGUCUAGCCAGAACGGGUUUGACGGUGAGGGACGAAGCCCUGGGGCGCAAACGGGAUUAGAUACCCCGGUAGUCCAGGGUGUAAACGCUGCUUGCUUGAUGUUGGUUGGGCUCCGAGCCCAAUCAGUGUCGGAGAGAAGUUGUUAAGCAAGCUGCCUGGGAAGUACGAUCGCAAGACUGAAACUUAAAGGAAUUGGCGGGGGAGCACCGCAACGGGAGGAGCGUGCGGUUUAAUUGGAUUCAACGCCGGAAAGCUCACCGGAGGAGACGGCUAUAUGAAGGCCAGGCUUACGACCUUGCCAGAUUUUCCGAGAGGUGGUGCAUGGCCGUCGUCAGUUCGUACCGUAAGGCGUUCUGUUAAGUCAGACAACGAACAAGACCCUCAUCUUUAGUUGCAACUGGUAAGUCCGCUUAUCAGGCACACUAAAGAGACCGCUGGCGCUAA